GACGAACUCUGGCGGCGUGCCUAAUACAUGCAAGUCGAACGAGUGGCGGACGGGUGAGUAACACGUGGGAACCUACCCAUCAGAGGGGGAUAACACUUGGAAACGGUAGCUAAUACCGCAUACCAUCAGAUGUGCCCAGAUUGGAUUAGCUUGUUGGUGGGGUAACGGCUCACCAAGGCGACGAUCCCUAGCUGGUCUGAUAGGAUGACCAGCCACACUGGAACUGAGACACGGUCAAGACUCCGACGGGAGGCAGCAGUGGGGAAGAUUGCACAAUGGGCGAAAGCCUGAUGCAGCCAUGCCGCGUGUAUGAAGAAGGCCUUCGGGUUGUAAAGUACUUUCAGCGGGGAGGAGUGAACCGCAGAAGAAGCACCGGCUAACUCCGUGCCAGCAGCCGCGUUAAUAC
rnacentral:rRNA from 1 species